rnacentral:rRNA from 1 species
GUGGGGAAUCUUAGACAAUGGGGGAAACCCUGAUCUAGCCAUGCCGCGUGAGCGAUGAAGGCCUUAGGGUUGUAAAGCUCUUUCAGCUGGGAAGAUAAUGACGGUACCAGCAGAAGAAGCCCCGGCUAACGCCGUGCCAGCAGCCGCGGUAAUACGGAGGGGGCUAGCGUUGUUCGGAAUUACUGGGCGUAAAGCGCGCGUAGGCGGACCAGAAAGUUGGAGGUGAAAUCCCAGGGCUCAACCUUGGAACUGCCUUCAAAACUCCUGGUCUGGAGUUCGAGAGAUGUGAGUGGAAUUCCGAGUGUAGAGGUGAAAUUCGUAGAUAUUCGGAGGAACACCAGUGGCGAAGGCGGCUCACUGGCUCGAUACUGACGCUGAGGUGCGAAAGCGUGGGGAGCAAACAGGAUUAGAUACCCCAGUAGUCC